rnacentral:rRNA from 1 species
UUUAAAUUGCUGUGGUAUUUUGACUAUACGAAGGUAUUGAAAUAAGGCUUUUAUUGGGUGCUAAGAGAAUGGUUAAACAAAGAUUGACUUUCUUUUAAUUUAAAAUUGAAUUUAAUUUAAGAGUGAAAAAGCUCUUAUAAGGUUCUGGGACAAGAAGACCCUAUGAAUUUUUUUUUAUAUAUUUAUUAAUGAUUUUUAAAAAAUGUAAUAUUUUUAUAAGUUGAUUGGGGUGAUUUUUAAAAAAUGUAUAUCUUUAAAAUUGUAUAAUUAGAACCAUAACUUGUGGUUGUUUGAUUAAAAUACUCUAGGGAUAACAGCGUAAUUAUUUUGGAUAGUUCAUAUAGAUAAAAUAGUUUGCGACCUCGAUGUUGGA